AUGAGCUGGCCCGACCUGCCGGCCGAGCUCAUCGCGGGGAUCGCCUACAGGAUCACCUCGCACGCGGACCUCGCACGCUUCCGCUCGGUGUGCCCGUCAUGGCGCUCCGCCUCUGCAGAGCACGCCGCCUGUCGCCGCGUCCCGCUACUUCUCCUGCACACCGAAGACCACUUCGGCGUCAACCGCCGUCUCUGGUCCCUCGCUGACGACACCGUCGUGGAGGUCCCCGUCCCCGCCGUGCGCGUCUUCUCCUUCCUCUACGCCUCGCAUCAUGGCUGGAUGCUCGGCGUUGCCGACGACCUCUCGGCCACGCUGCUGCAUCCCUUCACCAGUGCGUCCGAGAGCCUACCCGCACUGCCGCCCUCCUUCCGGGACAACGGUCAGGAGAUCCUCUGUGACAUGGUAUGGGAUAAAUCGCCUGACGCCGUCAUGGUCUCGCCGGGAAUGGGCGCGUACUUCUGCCGGCUACGGCCCGGCGACGGACCGUGGAGCCCGGUCGGCGGCUGCUCGCAGGGCGCUAACCAUGUCAGCAGCAUCACCUACUGCGACGGCACGGUCUACCUUCUGGACGGGCGCGCCCACAGGGUGACGACCGUGGACGCUGAAACCUUCGACGUUGCCGCCGUGAUCGAGCCACCGGACAUGGCCGCGCCACCCCACACCUGGCUCGAACCCGAGUCCGCCCUCAUCGUCUCGUCCGGGGAGCUGCUUCUGAUCGUCAGGACGCACCUCAUGUUCGAACCAUUCUUCCACGGCUCGGACUGCCUCUUCAAAGCCUUCCGCGCGGACGGCCGGAGCCCGGCGGCCGCGUGGUCGGAGAUCGCCGGGGCGACAUCGGCGAGCGCGCCGUGUUCGUGGACCACCUCCGAUGGUUCUGCAUCGAGGCCAACGGGGUCAACGGGGUGCGGCGGAACUGCAUCUACGUGGCCAGCUCGUACGAGGAGUUCACCGAUGAGUACCUGGUGGACGGCUACGGGAGCUACACCGUGUCCGUGCUCGACUUGGACGACCUCACUACCCAGUCCCUCUCGCUCGUGA
rnacentral:rRNA from 1 species